UUUUUACUGAAAUAAAUGCAUAAUAUAAAAAUACAUUAAAAAAAAACAAAUAUAUACUAUCGUUCUGCCUUUUGUGUGAAAUGAAAUGUCAAUUCAUUCAUCCACAUGUAAUGAUGAAAAUUUCAUGUAGUGAUGUACAUGAUGACAUUGAUGUACAAUGUUGAGAAAAUUGUAGAUUCCCUAAACGUCAAUCUUUACUAAAAAAAAUCAGAUUUUAAUAUAGUUGUAUCUUGUUAUAUUGUAUACUUAAUUUGCAAAUUAAUUAGAUCUAUAUUGACACGAAAUUUAACAAUACAAGAACUCGCAUUUUUAAAUAAAUACGACUCAUCACUGUAUGAGUUGAUACGAAUUGAAAUAACCACGUGUUUCCGCUAUGGUAGCAGUAAACAAACAACAUGAUGGUGAUGCGAAAUCUGAACGUUAAUUUUCAUGAUUUAUUCACGACGAAGAUCAUCACAUCAAUGAAUCAAAUAAUACGGACAUGCCUUUGGUAUUAGCAGGGUGCUGGCACCAUACGCAACAAUACUUUCAUCUGUGAAUACCCACUUGCUAAGCCCACCAUGAACUACGAAUGCCAAUUAAUAUGUAAGGACACUAAUGAACAGACACUUUCCAAUUAUCGUACAUCAUAUAUAUGGGUGGUCAAACUCACUGGAUGGUUUAUCAACACUCCCAUGCUCACGAACAGCCUUGCCCAAGGAAUUUUGCCCUAAAGUAAUAUUGCAGUCUAUUGUCUCCCUUCUUUUUACAACCCUGGCAGCCAUGCAGGAUAGAAGCUGAUCACUUGAACUUGAAAGCAAAUAAUAAUGUCUUGGACAAGUCAAAGAAUUUCCUCCAGUCUUACAGAGAAGUAACAGUUGAUAAAAGAAUGGUGGACACAAAGUAAAAGUGCUCUUCAACAUUUUGUUGAAGAUUUCAGUCUGAUUUGGAAUUCAUCUUGCAGUAUAUCUGGAUUUGUAUAUUUGGAUAUAAGUGUCAAAUUUUCAACUUAUUGACUAAACAGUUUUGGGCUAAAUAUUGCCAAUGCUAUUUGUUAUUAUUAUUUCCCUCCAAGAUAACAUGUCAAGUCUUUAUUGUACCCCUUAAGCUCUGUUAUACCAGAAAAAUCUUGUAAUGAAAUCAUUUAGUUUUUUUCUUGUUAGAUUAAAUCCAUGAAAAUAAAGAUUAUUUUUAAUGGCA